rnacentral:rRNA from 1 species
CCGCGAUAGGUCACGAUUUCUGGAAUGGAUCAUGGCUUAAAUCUACAUGGCCCCUGGAUUGGACUGCGGCCGAUCAGGCUGUUGGUGAGGUAAUGGCCCACCAAACCUAUAACCGGUACGGGCUCUGAGAGGAGAAGCCCGGAGAUGGGCACUGAGACAAGGGCCCAGGCCCUAUGGGGCGCAGCAGGCGCGAAACCUCUGCAAUAGGCAAAAGCCUGACAGGGUUACUCUGAGUGAUUUCCGCUAAGGGGAUCUUUUGGCACCUCUAAAAAUGGUGCAGAAUAAGGGGUGGGCAAGUCUGGUGUCAGCCGCCGCGGUAAUACCAGCACCCCGAGUGGUCGGGACGAUUAUUGGGCCUAAAGCAUCCGUAGCCGGUUCUGCAAGUCUUCCGUUAAAUCCAGCCGCUCAACGGAUGGGCCGCGGAGGAUACUACAGGACUAGGAGGCGGGAGAGGCAAGCGGUACUCAGUGGGUAGGGGUAAAAUCCUUUGAUCCAUUGAAGACCACCAGUGGCGAAGGCGGCUUGCCAGAACGCGCUCGACGGUGAGGGAUGAAAGCUGGGGGAGCAAACCGGAUUAGAUACCCGGGUAGUCCCAGCUGUAAACGAUGCAGACUCGGUGAUGGGCUAGCCUUGUGCCAGCCCAGUGCCGCAGGGAAGCCGUUAAGUCUGCCGCCUGGGGAGUACGGUCGCAAGACUGAAACUUAAAGGAAUUGGCGGGG